GGGAGCGGGAGCGGGGCCGUGCGGGAGCCGGGAGGUGCCGAGCGCGGGGCAGGGACGGGACGGGGCCAGCGGGAGCGGCGGGGAGCGGGCAGGGCAGCGAUGCGGCUCCGCCGCCGCUCGGGCUCGCCGCCUUCGCCCCCCGCGGGGCGCCGGUGACCGUCACACCCUGCGCGCCCCGGCGGAAUGAGCCCCGCCGCGACCCCGCCAGCGCCGCGAUCCGGAGAAUUACUGAAGUUUGGAUUGCUGUCUUGAUUCUAUAAACCUGCAAUAAGUGGCAAUGUCAAGGGUUCCCACCCCACCUCCUCCUGGGGAGAUGUCCAGUGGACCUGUGGCUGAAAGCUGGUGUUACACACAGGUUAAAGUAGUAAAAUUUUCCUACAUGUGGACCAUUAAUAACUUCAGUUUUUGCCGAGAAGAAAUGGGUGAAGUUCUAAAGAGUUCUACCUUUUCAUCAGGGCCAAAUGACAAAAUGAAGUGGUGCCUGAGAGUGAAUCCAAAGGGAUUAGAUGAUGAAAGCAAAGACUAUCUGUCAUUAUAUUUGCUUCUAGUCAGUUGUCCAAAAAGUGAAGUCAGAGCAAAAUUCAAAUUUUCCCUACUGAAUGCUAAAAGAGAAGAAACAAAAGCAAUGGAAAGCCAAAGAGCCUAUCGAUUUGUGCAAGGCAAGGACUGGGGGUUUAAGAAAUUUAUCCGAAGAGACUUUUUGCUAGAUGAAGCUAAUGGUCUUCUACCAGAUGACAAGCUUACGUUAUUUUGUGAGGUAAGCGUGGUCCAAGACUCAGUAAAUAUAUCAGGACAGUCUAAUACAAACACUUUGAAGGUACCUGAAUGUCGACUAGCAGAAGAUUUAGGGAAUCUCUGGGAAACCACAAGAUUUACAGAUUGCAGUUUUUAUGUAGGAGGACAAGAAUUCAAAGCUCAUAAAUCUGUCCUUGCAGCACGAUCUCCAGUUUUUAAUGCAAUGUUUGAACAUGAAAUGGAGGAAAGCAAAAAGAAUCGUGUAGAAAUAAAUGAUGUAGACCCUGAAGUUUUUAAAGAAAUGAUGAGAUUCAUUUACACAGGAAAAGCACCAAACCUUGAAAAAAUGGCUGACAAUUUGUUGGCAGCUGCAGACAAAUAUGCACUGGAAAGGCUGAAGGUGAUGUGUGAGGAAGCACUCUGCAGUAACCUCUCCGUAGAAAACGUUGCUGACAUUCUUAUCCUCGCAGAUUUGCACAGCGCUGAACAGUUAAAAGCACAAGCAAUAGACUUUAUUAACAGGUGCAGUGUUCUUAGACAACUUGGGUGUAAAGAUGGGAAAAACUGGAAUAGCAAGUAAGUUUCCCUGCCCCACGAUGUUCUGUACAAACACUGCUAAAUAGACUGCAGAUCUUAAGAACUGUUGCUUCAUUUCCACACUACUGAGGCCUGUCACUGACUCCAAGCAACAGACAUAAUGGAAACAGCAGGCUGGAAGUCCAUGAUCCACUCCCACCCUCACUUAGUAGCAGAGGCCUUUCGCGCACUGGCGUCUGCACAGUGUCCACAGUUUGGCAUUCCACGCAAACGGCUAAAACAGUCAUGAAAUCUUCCAUGAACUUUAGAGAAAUUGGAUUGACUCUACUCCUCCAUGUCCAGAGGUGUUUUCACAAAGCAUAACAAGAGUUUUUGUUAUCCUUGUCCACAGAACAGAAGCUGAAAAAGCCUAUUGUUUGCUUUUCAGAUGGAUAAUUUAUGGUUUAAUCCUCAGCUUUAAAUUAGACUGAUUAAUUCACUGAAAGGCCUUAAAUUAUCUUCAAUGACUCUCUAGUCCAUAUAGUCUAAUGUAUCUUGAUUUUUUUAUUAUUAUUUUUAAUGUGCCUUGUCUUUUUGACUAGGCUCUGCAGGAUUGCACUAGCUCCAUAAUGCAGUAAAGUUGAAAACUGAAGAUUAAUUUUUGAAAGGGAUCUUCCAUUAUUUUCAGAAGAAAAAAAAAAAAAGAUUAUAGUUUGGUCCUGUGCUAACUGGAAGGUUUUGACUGGCCUCUCAUUAAAAGCACUUGAACCAGAGGCACAUCAUGUACCCUAGACAAGUGCUAAAUAUAGGGAGAGCCUGUUUACCUUCAGCGAAUGCCUACAGGCUAUUUAUGGCAAUAUACUGCUUUGAACGUAAUUUAUUUUUCAUUGUGGGGGCAAAUAUGCAAUGGUUUGGCCCAAAAAUGUAUUUUCAUUACAGUUUGUAAUGCUUACUGUGUGUGUGUCAAAGCUGUCCAAGCGGUGAAAAGAAACACAGAAUAAACCUCUUGCUUGUGUUUCUUUACGGUCCAUCAUUAGUUUACAUUUAAUGCAGAACUGAACGAGAGGUAAAGAGUUCAGUGUGAAAAGGAAUAAUGUUGUAUAUGGAAAAAUUAUAUCCCACGUGUAUGGUUAACAUAGAAAAGUAAAGGAUGCAUAGAAUGACCAAAUGUAAAUUGAGGAAAUGGGCCAAAUGGAUUCUGAAUAUGCACUUUUAAUGUGUAACUUUUAUAUGUUGUGUGGUACAUAUAUAUUUUGCUUUUGAUGAAUUAAUGAGGUACAGGUAAUUGUGGCUUAACUUUUUAGAUACAUUUUAAGAUGCCCACAGCCACAUGGGAUUUAGUUUUGUUAGAAAAGAAAGGCAUGUCUUUUUAAGACUCAAUUGAAGGUGGCUAUUGCAAGCUUUCAUAUUUAAGUAACAGAAUAUUUUCGCUUAUUUGAAAAAGGCAUGUGAAUGGUAAAAACUUUGAAGGGAUUUUUCCCAUCUUGACUUAUGUGCACAGCUUCCAUUAACACCUGAGGAGGCUGUGUACACAUCGAGGAGUAUUUCCCUGAAAUGUCAGAUGGUAUUUGCAAGCAGAGACUUGCUCAGUCUUGCAUUUCAGUUAUUGUACUAGCAUUGUGGAUGGUAUUGAAAUUCUGCAUAAUGUGAAAAGGAUGAAACAUUUGUAAACUGCUUGUCACGGGCCAGUUCUUUAUUAUAUGAACCUUAGCUUUAAUAUCAACAUCCUCAGUGUUUGAUAGCUUUGUUUACAAUUGGGAGGAAAAGUCUGCAGUAGUGCACACUCUAAAUGUUCCCUGAGUUAUUGCAUUGAGUUUACUGUAAUAGUCAUAAUAUGCUGUAUUUCUUUUUAUUUGGGAAGACUUGGGUUUAGCAGUGGGGAAUGAGAGGAGAUCUCACUUAAUUUAUAAACUUAUUUGCAUAAGGGUUUGAGUUGACCUAUUAAAAGAAGUUAUGCAGGGAGGAAAGAGGAAGAAUUUUGAAUUGUUUACUGUCUUGAAAUCUAUCUCCAUCCUCAUUUCAUUCAGAUUCAUCUGAAUUGCUCUGAACAAAAUUUUUGGAGGAAAGAAUAUAUAGUUUUAUACUUUGACUUCUUGUAAGGCACUAGCAAAGGUAAAUAGGAAAAAAUAUCCAGUCCAAUUUUGAAGACUAAAACCUCUGAACGUGCAUUUUCUUCUUGACUUCUGACUAAAUCUUUAUGAUGGAUAAAGUGUAAAAUCAGAAACCUAAUUAGUACAGAAGUCAUCAAGUUAUAUAUUUGUAGAGAUUUAUCCUUUUACCAGUUUUUAGGUAUUUAUCUGAAAUAAGGUCUCGUAGGCAUUCUCCACAAUAAGAGAGUAAAGGCAAUUAUUCCAAAACCAUGAUUUUUUUGCUGCACUGUGUAAUGCGUUGGGACUACAGAUCCUUCUGCUGAUCACUGUAAAACUCGCAGCUCUCACGUGCAAAGUGACUUGAAUAGUUAAUGGUGUAAUGAUUGCCCAGGUCAGCCUGUUCUGAAGUAACAACAUAGAGUAAUCAGAUGGAAAGCUUAAGGAUUUCUGUGAAUUUUUUAUUUUAAGAAGCUUAAUAGCACACUUGGUACCAAAAAAUGUCAGACACUGUGCUGUGAUAUCAUCUACAUCGUAGAGUGUCCCCUUCUCCAGUCAGGCAGUGUAAACCAGAUGUUACACUAACAGGAAAAAGCCCUAUGAUGAUUGAUCUGUUAAGAUUUGAUUUUAUUUAUUAUGUAUAUUUUCAAGUUUUGUCAGCUCUUAAGAAAAAGGUAAAACAAUUGCUGUAUUCUUAAGUGAAUGCACUAAUUAUUCAGCUCUUUUAAUUACCUACAUGCAGUGUUCUCACUGAAAUGGGACAGCUGGUAAUUACAACCUUCUUCUUCAGAUUCAGUAGCUUCGUUUCAUUCCCCACACCUCAAGAACUUGCCCUUCAAAGCCUCAGUUGUCAGUUCAAAGUGCAGCAGAUCGAAAAAAAGCUAUCUAAAUCAACGGACAGAUUUUUUUCAGGCUGAAACCUGAGUUUUGUGUUUUGUUCUUUUUUUUUUUUUUUCCUUAGUUUUCUAUCCAGAUUAGGACUAUGACGUAUGAAGGUGCCAUGUUUUGGCUUGCCAACACUACCCUCUCAGAUAGAUGUGAACCACCGCUUCCAUACUUUUCUGGGGAGAACCCUGCAUGUGUCCUGUGUGUGCGUGCGCGUGUGUGUAUGACUGUGCGGUGUUUUUUUUGUCAAGAAUGACUUUCUAAAAAUAAGGACUCAAUUUGCUGUUAAAAUGCUAUUAUGUAUUAUAUAUAUAUAUAUAUAUAUUUUUUUUUUUUUCCAUUUGAGCCUCUCCUAAGGAGAUGCUUUGGGUGGAAGUUGCUUCAAUAAAUAAUCCUUAUUUCCUAGUCCAUUUACUGCAUGCAGAAGUAUGAACACAUUGUGCCUUUUUAGGAAACUGUUGCAGUGAAGGGAAGGUUUAACAGGAUACAAGGUCUUUGUGAAAGGUAUUUUUAAAGAUGAAGGAGAAUGCUGUUUGAUACUCAAUUGAGAUGGAAAAGUUGCAUGUCGAUUCUUCUUCCUAAAUUCAGUUUCACCGAGGUAGAAACUACACAAACAAGUGGAAUAAGUAUUACAGAUACAAGUUGAGUAAUGGUAUCAUUUUGUGAAAUUGUGAUAAUAUUUGCUGUUACAAGAUAAGUGUAUGUCAAAAUGUGAUAAUCAUGGACACAGAGUUACUCUAGUUCUGAUGUUUUUCUAAACAUUGAGUAUUUAAUAUAAAAUUCACCUUUGCACAGAAGAUCAGUAGAAGACCUGUAUGGAGAUUAUGUUCCUUUUAAAUCCUCACAGCAGUUUUCUCCCUUGGGAGUAUAAAAUGAUGUGCAGUAUUUGAAACUGUGUUUCAUGGAAGACAGUGAAUUGAAAAUGUGAGGUGUUGCUACCUGAAAUGUUAAAUUUUGUUGAAUUUUACAGCUGGUUAAAAUUCCUAAGCUUAAUUGAUUUUGGUUUUUUUUUUAAUUGACAAGUGGAAUGUUACCUGUCCUCUUUGUCUCGUGUUAAUAGUGUAUUUAGUGCAGAGCUUAGCUCCUUAGCUAGCAAGACACUUAGUCUCAUAACUUGGCUUCUGCUUACAGUAAAUGGACUAUGUUUGUAAAGGGAAUUCACUAUUUCAAGUGUUUUGCAAGGAACUUCACUGUAUUUGUAACCUGGUUUUUGAAGGCUUAAGAUCAAUGAGUCCUAUUUUAGAAAUUAAACCAGUGAAAUGACUUAGACCUGUUUUGGGGUGGAAAUGAUUAAGAGAAUUCAGAUAUGUAAACAGUUGUAUCAAACCAUCCAGCCUUUUUUUAUCAGCUGAUGUUAAUGGUGAAAUACUUUUUGUACCUUGUUGCUGAAAAUAUUUUUGCGUUUCAGCACAUCAAGUUACAAUAAAGUUGUUACUUAUACAGAA